UAGGGAAUCUUCCGCAAUGGACGAAAGUCUGACGGAGCAACGCCGCGUGAGUGAUGAAGGUUUUCGGAUCGUAAAACUCUGUUGUUAGGGAAGAACAAGUACGAGAGUAACUGCUCGUACCUUGACGGUACCUAACCAGAAAGCCACGGCUAACUACGUGCCAGCAGCCGCGGUAAUACGUAGGUGGCAAGCGUUGUCCGGAAUUAUUGGGCGUAAAGCGCGCGCAGGCGGUCCUUUAAGUCUGAUGUGAAAGCCCACGGCUCAACCGUGGAGGGUCAUUGGAAACUGGGGGACUUGAGUGCAGGAGAGAAGAGUGGAAUUCCACGUGUAGCGGUGAAAUGCGUAGAGAUGUGGAGGAACACCAGUGGCGAAGGCGACUCUUUGGCCUGUAACUGACGCUGAGGCGCGAAAGCGUGGGGAGCAAACAGGAUUAGAUACCCUGGUAGUCCACGCCGUAAACGAUGAGUGCUAAGUGUUAGAGGGUUUCCGCCCUUUAGUGCUGCAGUAAACGCAUUAAGCACUCCGCCUGGGGAGUACGGCCGCAAGGCUG
rnacentral:rRNA from 1 species